rnacentral:rRNA from 1 species
UGGGGAAUUUUGGACAAUGGGCGCAAGCCUGAUCCAGCCAUGCCGCGUGCGGGAAGAAGGCCUUCGGGUUGUAAACCGCUUUUGUCAGGGAAGAAAUCUUCUGAGUUAAUACCUCGGGAGGAUGACGGUACCUGAAGAAUAAGCACCGGCUAACUACGUGCCAGCAGCCGCGGUAAUACGUAGGGUGCAAGCGUUAAUCGGAAUUACUGGGCGUAAAGCGUGCGCAGGCGGUUUUGUAAGACAGAGGUGAAAUCCCCGGGCUCAACCUGGGAACUGCCUUUGUGACUGCAAGGCUUGAGUGCGGCAGAGGGGGGCAUGGAAUUCCGCGUGUAGCAGUGAAAUUGCGUAGAUAUGCGGAGGAACACCGAUGGCGAAGGCAA